rnacentral:rRNA from 1 species
ACUCCUACGGGAGGCAGCAGUGGGGAAUAUUGCACAAUGGGGGAAACCCGUGAUGCAGCCAUGCCGCGUGUGUGAAGAAGGCCUUCGGGUUGUAAAAGCACUUUCAGUAGGGAGGAAGGUAGUGUAGUUAACACCUGCAUUAUUUGACGUUACCUACAGAAGAAGCACCGGCUGAACUCCGUGCCAGCAGCCGCGGUAAUACGGAGGGUGCGAGCGUUAAUCGGAAUUACUGGGCGUAAAGCGCAUGCAGGCGGCCUGUUAAGUCAGAUGUGAAAGCCCGGGGCUUAACCUCGGAAUUGCAUUUGAAACUGGCAGGCUAGAGUCUUGUAGA